AACUGAAGAGUUUGAUCAUGGCUCAGAUUGAACGCUGGCGGCAGGCUUAACACAUGCAAGUCGAGCGGGGGAAGGUAGCUUGCUACUGGACCUAGCGGCGGACGGGUGAGUAAUGCUUAGGAAUCUGCCUAUUAGUGGGGGACAACAUCUCGAAAGGGAUGCUAAUACCGCAUACGUCCUACGGGAGAAAGCAGGGGAUCUUCGGACCUUGCGCUAAUAGAUGAGCC
rnacentral:rRNA from 1 species